GAUGCCAUUUCAAUCAGCAUGAUCCUAAUCCGAUUCAAUGACUUGGUGAAGUCAGUGGGAGGAUUGCGGUUUGUUGAUUGAUCUCUUUUUUUCUCUUAAUUCAUAAAUUAAAUUUUCUAAAUUAUUGGAUCCUUAAAAUGAGAUAGUUAUAGUGAUAACUAAAUUAUAAUCUCCUAUUAAGUUGGGUGAUAAUGAGUCCAUUAGUAUGAUGAUCAUUGAAGGCCCAAAGGUC
rnacentral:lncRNA from 1 species